rnacentral:rRNA from 1 species
UACGUAGGGGGCUAGCGUUGCUCGGAAUCACUGGGCGUAAAGGGUGCGUAGGCGGGGCUUUAAGUCAGGGGUGAAAUCCUGGAGCUCAACUCCAGAACUGCCUUUGAUACUGAAGAUCUUGAGUUCGGGAGAGGUGAGUGGAACUGCGAGUGUAGAGGUGAAAUUCGUAGAUAUUCGCAAGAACACCAGUGGCGAAGGCGGCUCACUGGCCCGGUACUGACGCUGAGGCACGAAAGCGUGGGGAGCAAACAGG